GUAUGGUAUGGUAUGGUAUGGUAUGGUAUGGUAUGGUAUGGUAUGGUAUGGUAUGGUAUGGUAUGGUAUGGUAUGGUAUGGUAUGGUAUGGUAUGGUAUGGUAUGGUAUGGUAUGGUAUGGUAUGGUAUGGUAUGGUAUGGUAUGGUAUGGUAUGGUAUGGUAUGGUAUGGUAUGGUAUGGUAUGGUAUGGUAUGGUAUGGUAUGGUAUGGUAUGGUAUGGUAUGGUAUGGUAUGGUAUGGUAUGGUAUGGUAUGGUAUGGUACGGUAUGGCACGCGGCGCGGCACGGCACGGCACGGUACGGUACGGUAUGGUAUGGUACGGUAUGGCACACGGUCCGGCACGGCACGGCACGGUACGGUACGGUACGGUAUGGUAUGGUAUGGUACGGUAUGGCACACGGCACAAUGGUAUGGUAUGGUAUGGUACGGUAUGGCACGCGGCGCGGCACGGCACGGCACGGUACGGUACGGUAUGGUAUGGUACGGUAUGGCACACGGUCCGGCACGGCACGGCACGGUACGGUACGGUACGGUAUGGUAUGGUAUGGUACGGUAUGGCACACGGCACAGCACGGCACGGUACGGUACGGUAUGGUAUGGUACGGUACGGUAUGGCACACGGCACAGUAUGGCAUGGCACCGUAUGGUAUGGUACGGUACGGUACGGUAUGGCACACGGCACGGCACGGCACGGUAUGGUAGAGUAUGCUAUGGUACGGUAUGGCAUACGGCACGGCGCGGCGCGGCUCGGUAUGGUACGGUACGGUAUGGUAUGGUAUGGCACACGGCACGGUACGGUACGGCACGGCACGGUACGGUAUGGCACACGGCACGGUAUGACACGUUAUGGCACGGUACGGUACGAUACGGUACGGUAUGGCACACGGCACAGCCCGGCCCGGCCCAGCCUGGCCCGGUACAGUAUGGUAUGGUAUGGUAUGGUAUGGUAUGGUAUGGUAUGGUAUGGUAUGGCAUGGCAUGGCAUGGCAUGGCAUGGCAUGGCAUGGCAUGGCAUGGCAUGGCAUGGCAUGGCAUGGCAUGGCAUGGCAUGGCAUGGCAUGGCAUGGCAUGGCAUGGCAUGGCAUGGCAUGGCAUGGCAUGGCAUGGCAUGGCAUGGCAUGGCAUGGCAUGGCAUGGCAUGGCAUGGCAUGGCAUGGCAUGGCAUGGCAUGGCAUGGCAUGGCAUGGCAUGGCAUGGCAUGGCAUGGCAUGGCAUGGCAUGGCAUGGCAUGGCAUGGCAUGGCAUGGCAUGGCAUGGCAUGGCAUGGCAUGGCAUGGCAUGGCAUGGCAUGGCAUGGCAUGGCAUGGUAUGGUAUGGUAUGGUACGGCACGGUACGGUACGGUACGGCACACGGCACGGUACGGUAUGGUAUGGCACAUGGUACGGUACAGUAUGGCACACAGCACGGUAUGGCACGGCACGGUAUGGUAUGGUACGGCACAGAAUGGAAUGGAGUGGCACGGGUAUGGUAUGGUGUAUGGUAUGGUAUGGUAUGGUAUGGUAUGGUAUGGUAUGGUAUGGUAUGGUAUGGUAUGGUAUGGUAUGGUAUGGUAUGGUAUGGCACACGGCACGGUAUGGCAUGGCACGGCAUGGUAUGGUAUGGCACACGGUACGGCACGGCAUGGCACGGUAUGGUAUGGUAUGGUACAGCACGGCAUGGAGUGGAACCGCACAGAGCGGCACGGCACAGAAUGGAACCGCACGGCACGGAGCGGCACAGAACGGCGGGCAACCGGGCGGGGACAGGGACUGUGGGACCGGAGUAGGGACAGCAGGAUCGGGGACAGCGGCACAGGGGGACAGGAGCAGGGACUGGGAGGUGGGGGGACAGGGACAGCGGGACAGGGGGACAGGGGCAGCGGGAUCGGGGGAGAGCGACAGCACACCUGGGGGACACCGACACCGGACCCGGGGGACAGUGCCGCCAGAGCCGGGGGACACAGGCAUCGAUCCGGGGGACACCGCAGGACCCGCGCUGUGACACUGCCACCAUUGCCACCAUCACCACCACUGUCACCACUGUCACCAGCCCCGGGGUCACCCACGCGACCCGCGCUGUGACACCGCCAGUGCCACCAGCCCCAGGGGACACCGCAGGACCAGAGCGAGCCCUCGGCACUGGCACCGCCAGCUCAGCGCCCUUGCACGGGAAGGUCACCUGGGGCAGGUGACAAAACCACAGAGUGCUUUGGGUGUCUGCACUCCCCGGGCAGCGCUGUCACCCUGCGUGGGAAACGCUUCUGCCUCCUUGGGGUGGAACUUGGGGUGUUUUUUCAUUUAUGGCUGUUGCUCCUCAUCCCGUCCCACUGGACGUGUUUAUAUCCCCUGGUGCCAUCCUGUCAGCCUUCCCUAAGCUAAACACGCCCAGCGCAUUUUUGGAUGAGGAGCAGUGAGGCAGCCCCAGG
rnacentral:lncRNA from 12 species